UAGCAAGGAUUUAUUUAACAUGCCAUUACAGCAAUUAGCCCCAGGGAAAGUUCAGCUUGCAUACACAGCUUCCAAAUAUGUUUUAAGUUUGUAUUUAUCAACUGAGUUUCCUUUCAUCCCCCCAACUGAGUAUAAACUUUCCCUCUUUUCUUCAGCUCACAGCUCCUGGGAAGCUUUCUACCUGGGCUCUUUUCUGAGCACUCGACAUGUCAAAACUCCAUUCCAGAGGCCCCCUUCCACCUUUCCUCCUGGGAACAGCGACACAAUGUCCAUCCUCAGUAAGAGCUUCUUACUGGAAGUACGGAACAGAUGAAAACCUGAACAAUACUGUAUCACGCAGUUAACUGCUUGAAGAGAAGUUACAAAGUGCAAAAUUAAAUGAUCCCACUGGAGCCACAGUCUCUCAGAAAACAAGUUAAACUAAACCUCUGCUUGACAAAUACAAUUUCAGGAGGGGCUGGAAGUAGCAGAAAGAUUUGUUUACCUGCAGCACACAGUGGCUGGAAGGCCUCAUGGUUUCUCAAAAGUGGGAUGUCCUGAUGACUGAAGUUGUACUAAGGUCAACCGUUGUUCCCCUUGGUGCCUGGGACAUCUGAGAUUUGUCAGAAGAAGUGUUCCGGGCAUCUUAUACAAUGCAAAUAUCUUCUCUGUUGCAGAGAAAGAAGAAGGAUUGAUUUUGUCUAAGCUUUCUGCCUUUUUCUUCUCAAAAUGGUAGCUAAGAGAGGCUUCUUUGUAUAUACCUUAGUCUUUUGCCAGGAUGAAACCUUCCUCUUCAACACCACAUCAAUGUAAGCCGAAUGAAGUCGUACAGCCAUGGGUCAGUUUUCUUCUAAUCCACCCAUCCUGAAGACCAGACAUAAAAUCAGCAGUGGCCACUCUUCUCUCUGACAGUGCUUUCCUCCGAAUGGAUGAUCAACAAGACUGCUUGGACAUAAAGAAGACAUACAGUUAUCUGUAAGCUUAAUUCCUCACACUGAUAUAUAUGUGAUUUAAAGGACUUAAGUCACCUGAAUAAAGGUAAAUACUUGUAAAAUGAAAUGUGUCAAAUGCUGGAUGAAUGUUAUCUGUCUUGCAGUUUAUAUCAGGAAAUAAAGGGUAAGAAUCAUAAAUGGCAACUACCAGGCAAAAUAUUGAUAAAGAGCAGGUAUUUUUUCCAGAGGGGAUUAAUUUUUCUAUGCAUACUGUUAAACAUUUGAGAAGUUUUGGGAUUCACUUUUCUUUGUCAUGGAUAUAUAUAAAAAAAUGUACAGGAAAAAUUAUAGUAUUUGAAUGUCAUACAGGACACACAAGACAAAUUUUAAAAGUCCUGUUCUAUAAGCAUGUUUGCUUACUGAAUUUCUUAUCCAGAUUUUAAAGUACAGCUCUAUGUUCUAUGUCACUCAGAUGGCAGCAUUUAAAAUCACUGCUAACACCUUCAGAAGCUGAUAAGCUUGUUUCAGUGCUGUCAGCUAAGUCCCUAUACCUUUAUCUGGAGUUUUCAUAUGGUAUGAAGUUCAGUGACUGCUUACUUCACAUUCACAGAGAUAUUUCAACAUUUUCUGCAGUUCGACCAAGAAAAAUCUUUCAGAAUCGAUGUGUGUCCUGGGGCAGGAUUAAGCCAGUGCUCAGUAGUGCACUGAAUUAGUCUUUCUGGUGGUCUGAUUGCUUUAAUCUCUAUUUUUUGAAAAAAAGCUCACAUCUAUAAGGAUUUGAUUUUUUUUUUUUUUUUUUAAUAAAUAUGAAACAAAUGUCAAGGCUACAAGCAAUUCACAAGGUCUUUUCAGAGGUAUAUGGUCUUCUCAGUUGAUCUCAAUAGACCAUUCAUUCUGAGGUCCAGCUACUCCAGCUACCUCACCGGUGUUUGUUUGCAAAGCAGAACCAGGGUUCACAGUUUAUGAUACAGUGAUUAAAAGAACACUUGCAAUUCAUUGCUGCAUCCAGUGUUACUUCUAUACCUGCCACUGUUGUCCUAGCUGUGCUGUAGCUGGUGUGGCUCUGCAGUCACUGAAGAGAGUUUGUAUGGGUGGAAACACUGCUACCACCUGCUACCGCUGCUCUAUCAGAGAGGCAUGUCUGAAAACUAAUGCCUUCUACAAACUGGAACAAGCUUCCCAUUUUUUUUCAUGUGGGAGCAGAAUGAAACAGAGGUAAAUCAGAACUUCCCACAUUGUAACAAUGGCAAACCAUAGCAGAAAGAAACCGGAGAACUAUGUAGGGAUAGGUCUUUCUUUGAUACACAUUCAUGUUGCUUCAUUUACUUUGGAAGAGUCCAUUCACUUGAGCUGAGGAUGUGGCCCUUGUCAGGUCCUUACAGUUUUGAAGAUUAGUUCUUUAUAAAUAAGUAGAUUUGCUGCAAGCUCUUUUCCUUUUGAUGAGGAUUUUUUUCUCUAGCAUAUAUUUCAAGAAUGAACACUGUUUCAAAUCCUUAUUAUUUUCUUUGUUUGUUGUUUUGUUCUUGUGUUCAUCAAUGUGUCAGUAUGACAUUUUUGAUGCAAGUCAGUUCUUGCCUGCACUUGGAGCUGAUGCACCUUGAAUGGGGACAAAUUCUAGACUGACUAAUGCUGUACACAGUCCAUGGAACAUCCAAUUCCUAUGGACACCUACGUGACUGCAAAAAUAGUAGGAUCUGCUGGGUGUCCAUCCUGCCCUGAAAAGUAUCAUACCCCACGCUACCUGUUUUCAUGAGUUUUUUUUUUUUUUUUUUUUAAUUUGGAUCCAAUAUAUAGCUUCUCUGCAUUCUGCCUUAACAUUGUUAAACAUUAAUGCUGCCUACAAUGCUUGCUGUGCUUCCCUCCAUAAAAUGAACAAAGCAGCUGUGCUCUCUUGCCAGCCACAGAUUUAUUGGGGUAUGGAUUAUCCAUAUUAAAAACAGUCAUCAGGCCACAAAGGUUCCAUCACAAUCUGCCUACGAGCUAACACCAUUAAGAGGCAAACUUCAUAUAUCUUCAUGACUGAUAUGUUGAUCUGUCCCACUCCAUUGACUAAUGAAUUGACACACACAAUGUUCUUCAGCAUUACUGUGCAUCUCUUUGAUUUACAGCACUGGAGUAGGGGGCUGUAAGCACUCAGAUGCUGAUGAAUUCCAGACAGCACUUGCACCUGGCAGACCAGGAUGCUUCCCUCUCAGGAGAGCAGUUCUUGCAUCCCAGAACUGUACAUAAUAAACAUGGUGAUCCUCACUCUGUCUGCAUUUUCACCUCUACAAUGCCAUCAGACUGCUUGCCUUCCUGAGCCAAAUCCCCAGCUACUAUAAAUCAAAGUGCAUCGAUUUAUAUCAGUUGUUCUCUGAGCAGCGUGUCUGAGCCUUUUGUUUUGUCUGCUUUAAAGAUGCAUCUGGGAACCACCAAUGUAUGCUUGCUCCCGUGGUUUGUCAGUGCCAGGGAAAAGGGCUUGAGAGAAGAACAGCAGAUUUCUGUCCACAAUGGGGGUCAGUCCUGUCAGCCUGCAGCUGUGGUGGGAAGGUGGUGGCCACUGGCCCAAUGCUGCUCCUGUGAACAGAGAGGAGGAGUGAGGUUGUGGAAAGACGGGGGGUGGAUGGAGAUUUGGCCCAGAGCUUCUGUUUGUUGAACUAAUUAACUGGCUACGGGAUUGUGUUUUGCUAACAGCCUUGUAUUUAAGUUACCCACAGCACAGACUACUCAGUUCUAGUGGUUGACAUGAAAUACAGACUCAUUUUGACUCUUUGGAAUGCGCCAUCAUGUAGGACAGUCAUCUUCCAGUGUACUACUAAAUCCACCUGAUGAACCAAAAGAGCCACUACAGGUACCCUCCACUGUGAGCAGGACAAGGCAGGAGCAAUUGUUUGGAUGUGUCCUGGAUGAACGACUGAAUACCAUCUGCAUGGCAAGUUUGUGGUGUACUGCUCAAAAAAUAUAUCCAGUAAAAGCAUUUUCAAAGUCAAAAUAGAAAAUUCUUAUUUUAUGCAGCAAAUAAAUCAGAAUUCUAAGAAGUCUGAUAACUGCUGUAGCACUAAAUCGUAUGGAUUCUCUGACAAAGAGAAAUAUUCUGGCCCUUGACUCAACAUUUCAAUGAUGACUGAAAUAUAUUACUCUUUGUAGAUUCUUGGUUUGUUUGUUUAUUUUAAUUUUGAGAUGCCUCAUAUAUUUAUACAGAUUUCAUAUCAGUAAUAUGUCAUAGAUUUACACCUGUUUAACCAGAGAAUUUGGAGACACGUGCAAACUUCUUCCUGCUACUCAGGGAAAAAGAGCAUGCAAAAAAAAAAAUUAAAAAGACCUGACCAGAGAGUCUAAUUAACAUGAAGGAGAAAAAAAGAAUUCUUUCUUUCAGGUCACUUGCAAAGAUGAUCACCUCACUGAAAAACUCAUAGCAGACUCAUCACCGAAGUAAUAUAUCUAGUCACAGUUUGCAAAUAUGGAGUGGGAAUUUUGUCUUUAAAAACAGGAAGAGAUUGUCUUGUAUGGAGAGAGAUGUUAACAUCAAGUGAAGUCAAUUCCACGUUCCCUUUAAGUGAACAGAUCCAGAAUUUCAUUGAAAAUACAGGAAAAUAAAGAUUUCCGUGCUCUGAUUUGCUGGAGACGAUCUGGGUGGUAAAUAGAAACUGAUUGUUACUGUUUGCAGCUGACAAAAGUUGAGGCUAGAGAAUAAAGAAAAGAAAAAAAGAAAGAGUUAUAUCACAAAGGAGAUUGUUGUAUUACUUGCAAUCAAAAUUAGAUCAUUUUUCAAAGCUGCUAGAAAUAAAUGUAAGCUGCUUCUGGGCACCUUUAAUUUAUGUGACUGCUACUGGCAAAGCAAAUAAGGUAUUUUGAUACUGUUCUUAAUAGCAUUACAGGGAUAAAAUGUUUCACAGAGUGACAAUGUCCUAUGCAGCACUGCAGCACCAGUUAUAUAAAGAACAGAAAAAGAUCCCUAUCUUUUUAAUAUCUAACUUAUAAUUGUCCCUCGUUGUUGAUAGACCUUUCUUAUUACACUCAACUUAGUAAUGGAAAGAAGUGUUUUAAAAAUCUAAGUAAAUUAUAAAUCAAAUUUCUAACGGAUGCUGAACACAUUUCUUCAGAUAAGGUUCACAGAGUUAGUUGAGGGAAACAAGACUGACAGGCUGGAGCUGAAUUUGAUUGUGAAGAAGCAGCAGAGCAGGAACUAUUUGGGAAUAUUCUGCACUGUCUGGAAUGAAGAGAUGAACUGGUGGGUCUGAGGAGAAGACAGAGAUUUGUGCAACACACUGGGAGGAAGACCUACUUGUACAUUGUGCUAAGAGGAAGAUCUGCUCUAUACCUGCAUCGAGCUUCCACCAGAGUAGGUGGAAGGUAAAAGAGCACAUGUGCCAAAACAAGCCUGGACUAUCCUACCCACUCGCUGAAUGGAAUACCUGAAAGAAAAACACCCCUUUCUUCUCCUGGCCAACAACUGCGAUGGGGUUCUGAAGAAGAAGAGCAGCAGGGGAGAGAAGACUUGCAGAUCUUCACCUGCAGGACCUCAUCCCUGAAGCACCAGUCCCAUUACUCCAAUCUAUGGCAGGAGUCUGGAUCUGUUUCCUGCACAGAGGACGUCUGCAUCUAGAAAAUGACCAGGGAGCCUUGUGGGAAAUAGUUCCCUCAAGAGUGGAAGGAGGGAACACAACAAGUGAUGGUUUACUGAAAUAAGAAUUAUUUUCCUUUAAAUAAUUUCCCACCACACCUCAGCCUUUUAAUCUUCUGUGUUAGUUUCUUGGCCUGUGGGAGUCUUGCUGCCUUGGCUUCUAGAAAGUUUCAUGUGUUUAAGAUGCUGUGAAAAUCUACACAAAUGUCUACUGAAAAUCCUUUUAAUGAGUGUCAUUAAACUAUCUUGAAUUUUCCAUCUCUUGAUGUUAAUUUUUUCUGGAAAAGUUCCACUCCAAAGUAAAGUUCCAUUCUGUCCCACAUUCUGUCCAUUGCAGUAAAGAAGAGUGUGACUGAAUUUGUCACACUGGUGUUCCAGGCUGGAGAGCAACAAGUAGAUAAACUCAGUAUUGUUAAACUACUCUUACCCUCAUGUGCACAACAACUUCCCCAUCACUUUGGCAGGUGUAGGAGCUCCUUCAUGGAAAAGAAAACCUGCUCCACGGGAGUGCGUAGACUGCCAAGGCAGCGAAAACAUCCAACAAGUCUUAAAAAAGUGUUUUUACUGCAAAACAUAAGUAGGAUUAAUUUGCAUGAACAAAUUUACAGAAAAAAAUCUGUCAGUCAAUAUCCUGUAAAAUGAAAACAUAGCACAAAAAUUUAAACUCUGUAAGUUUUCUGUGAAACAUGCAGUGUGUACUAAAAAGUACCAACCCGGUGCUUAAAUAUAUUGAUG